rnacentral:lncRNA from 1 species
CUGGCAUGUGCCAGAGGACUUUUAUGGGCAAGCAGAGGGGGCUUCAACCACAAGUCCUACAUGGGAGAACUCUGAGAGCAGAGAAACCUGUGGGAGUCAGGAUUCAGAAUCCCUGACUUCUCCCCACUUCCAAAGAGGAAAGAUUCCUUAUUGCUGGGGGAGAAGGCAGCUUUGGGCCAGAAGAUUUUGGCUUUAUUCAACAGGAAACAGAGUCUUGGAAGACUUUAAAGAGAUGUGGUCUGCUUCCCAUAAUGAUUCGUCUGGUGCCAUGUGGAGUUUGCUGAUGCCAGGCCAAAAGAGGGAAACUUGAGACGGUCCAGAGGGAUGCGGGACUGAAUAAAGGCAGAGGAAGUGGGGAUGAAGAAGGAAAGAGUAGACUGGAUGGAACAUGGUGGCCAAUUUGACGUGGGAAGUGGACAGAAGGAGGAAUCAUGGAUGAUGACCAGCUCCACUCAGGGGACUCUGAAAAGAGUAGGAGGGCAGAAGAAAAUCCUCCCAGUGGACAGAGCUUCAGGCAGCAUACCUGGUCAUCCACUUUGUGAAGAGAGAGAAAUGGCUUUAGGGAAGACUAUCUGUGACUGUUGAACUGUGG